CAAACUGAAGAUGGCGACCGGCGCACGGGUGAGUAACACGUAUCCAACCUGCCGAUAACUCCGGAAUAGCCUUUCGAAAGAAAGAUUAAUACCGGAUGGCAUACGAAUAUCGCAUGAUAUUUUUAUUAAAGAAUUUCGGUUAUCGAUGGGGAUGCGUUCCGUUAGUUUGUUGGCGGGGUAACGGCCCACCAAGACUACGAUGGAUAGGGGUUCUGAGAGGAAGGUCCCCCACAUUGGAACUGAGACACGGUCCAA
rnacentral:rRNA from 1 species